rnacentral:rRNA from 1 species
AGUCACUGACAUUAGAUACCCCUGUAGUCCAGGGUGUAAACGCUGCAGACUUGGUGUUGGAAAUCCUUCGAGGGUAUUCAGUGCCGGAGAGAAGUUGUUAAGUCUGCUACUUGGGGAGUACGUCCGCAAGGAUGAAACUUAAAGGAAUUGGCGGGGGAGCACCGCAACGGGAGGAGCGUGCGGUUUAAUUGGAUUCAACACCGGAAAACUCACCAGGGAAGACUGUUACAUGAAGGCCGAGAUGAAGACUCUGCUGGAUUUUCAG